UACAGAGGGUGCUAGCGUUGUUCGGAAUCAUUGGGCGUAAAGGGCGUGUAGGCGGUUUGUUAAGUCAUGUGUGAAAGCCCCGGCUCAACCGGGGAACGACGCAUGAAACUGGCAGCUAGAGUACCGAAGAGGGGGGUGGAAUUCCCGGUGUAGCGGUGAAAUGCGCAGAUAUCAGGAAGAACACCCGUGGCGAAAGCGGCUCUCUGGAACGGUACUGACGCUGAAGACGGCGAAAGCGUGGGGAGCGAACAGG
rnacentral:rRNA from 1 species